AUUGAACGCUGGCGGCAGGCCUAACACAUGCAAGUCGAACGAGGGGCGGACGGGUUAGUAAUGUAUGGGAAACUGCCUGAUGGAGGGGGAUAACUACUGGGAACGGUUGCUAAUAACGCAUACCAUCGGAUGUGCCCAGGUGGGAUUAGCUAGGUGGUGGGGUAACGGCUGACCAAGGCGACGAUCCCUAGCUGGUCUGAGAGGAUGACCAGGCACACUGGAACUGGGACACGGUCCAGAAUCCUACGGUAGGCAGCAGUGGGGAAUAUUGCACAAUGGGCGCAAGCCUGAUGCAGCCAUGCCGCGUGUAUGAAGAAGGCCUUCGGGUUGUAAAGUACUUUCAGCGGGGAGGCGUUACCCGCAGAAGAAGCACCGGCUAACUCCGUGCCAGCAGCCGCGGUAAUUC
rnacentral:rRNA from 1 species